GACGAACGCUGGCGGCAGGCCUAACACAUGCAAGUCGAACGAGUGGCGGACGGGUGAGUAAUGUCUGGGAAACUGCCCGUUGGAGGGGGAUAACUACGGGAAACGGUAGCUUAUACCGCAUACUAUCGGAGGUGCCUAUAUGGGAUUAGCUAGUAGGUGGGGUAACGGCUCACCUAGGCGACGAUCCCUAGCUGGUCUGAGAGGAUGAUCAGCCACACUGGAACUGAGACACGGUCCAGACUCCUACGGGAGGCAGCAGUAGGGAAUAUUGCACAAUGGGCGCAAGCCUGAUGCAGCCAUGCCGCGUGUGUGAAGAAGGCCUUCGGGUUGUAAAGUACUUUCAGCGGGGAGGCGUUACUCGCAGAGGAAGCACCGGCUAACUCCGUGCCAGCAGCCGCGGUAAUAC
rnacentral:rRNA from 1 species